GCUAGAGAGUGAUUGAGUUGAUGACCAACCUCAUUUUAGCCAUCUGCACUUUGUAAAAGUUCUUUUGUCACACUUUCCAUCCAUUUCUCCUUCUGAAGAAUUUCCACAGGACAAUGUGGGGAUUUUUCAUCCAACAGCUGCACAGUGGGAGGACAGAAGGAAAGUUCAUUUUCACAGAGAUGACUUCCUGAGAAGUAAAAGGUCUAAAUGUAACUGCAAUAUAAAUGGAGAAAGACAUUAGGGGUUCAGCCAGUCCUCUGCCUGGGCAGGAAAGCUGGGGCAUCUCUGCCCAAGGAAAAAGAGUUUUGGUGCUCCCUGGGACAGUGCUGGCUCAGCCAACAGCUCCUGCUGGCUCUUGGGCUCUGC
rnacentral:lncRNA from 1 species